rnacentral:rRNA from 1 species
GAUGAACGCUAGCGGGAGGCCUAACACAUGCCAGCCGAGCGGUAUUUGUUCUUCGGAACAGAGAGAGCGGCGCACGGGUGCGGAACACGUGUGCAACCUGCCUUUAUCUGGGGGAUAGCCUUUCGAAAGGAAGAUUAAUACCCCAUAAUAUAUUGAGUGGCAUCACUUGAUAUUGAAAACUCCGGUGGAUAGAGAUGGGCACGCGCAAGAUUAGAUAGUUGGUGAGGUAACGGCUCACCAAGUCAAUGAUCUUUAGGGGGCCUGAGAGGGUGAUCCCCCACACUGGUACUGAGACACGGACCAGACUCCUACGGGAGGCAGCAGUGAGGAAUAUUGGACAAUGGGUUAGCGCCUGAUCCAGCCAUCCCGCGUGAAGGACGACGGCCCUAUGGGUUGUAAACUUCUUUUGUAUAGGGAUAAACCUACUCUCGUGAGAGUAGCUGAAGGUACUAUACGAAUAAGCACCGGCUAACUCCGU